rnacentral:rRNA from 1 species
GAUGAACGCUAGCUACAGGCUUAACACAUGCAAGUCGAGGGGCAGCAUGAACUUAGCUUGCUAAGUUUGAUGGCGACCGGCGCACGGGUGAGUAACACGUAUCCAACCUGCCGAUGACUCGGGGAUAGCCUUUCGAAAGAAAGAUUAAUACCCGAUGGCAUAGUUCUUCCGCAUGGUAGAACUAUUAAAGAAUUUCGGUCAUCGAUGGGGAUGCGUUCCAUUAGGUUGUUGGCGGGGUAACGGCCCACCAAGCCUUCGAUGGAUAGGGGUUCUGAGAGGAAGGUCCCCCACAUUGGAACUGAGACACGGUCCAAACUCCUACGGGAGGCAGCAGUGAGGAAUAUUGGUCAAUGGACGAGAGUCUGAACCAGCCAAGUAGCGUGAAGGAUGACUGCCCUAUGGGUUGUAAACUUCUUUUAUAAGGGAAUAAAGUGAGGCACGUGUGCCUUUUUGUAUGUACCGGAUGAAUAAGGAUCGGCUAACUCCGUG